rnacentral:antisense_RNA from 1 species
UUUUAAAAGAAAAUAAUUAUUGAUGUGUAAAGUAAAUGAAAACACAGUCAAGUGGGAGUGUAAUUGAAAGUAAUUUAAGAGUUCAAUGGUUGAUGACUAUUUUUUCAAUUAUGAUAUCUCUUUAUUAAUAGGAAAUUCAUAAAUUAAGGAGUAUGCAAUAUAAUCAUUGUGGAAUAUAUUAGGGAAACAUUUUUGAUCCAUGCAAGUAAAUUGAGAUAGACUGGGUGCACCUGUUCCUAGUCAUGCCCAGGGAAUAUGUGAAACUCUGGCUCAGGAUGAACGUCUGUUGGUGUCAGCACAACAAUAAUGAAACAAAGUUGGCAGUAGGGUGGGGAAGUGUUUGGUGGGCAGGAGCCACCAUCUGCAGCCAGCUCCCAGCACGGCUGUGUGUUCGGAUACCCAUCAACCAGGAAAGGGAGUCUAAGGCCUCCAGAUGAUUUUCCCCUUUCACAAAACUGUUGUAAAAUGAAAUACAAAUCCUUCCUGCAUGUUCCUAGCUUUUCUUCCUUUCGGAAGUUUUCAGUCAAUGGGAAACAAAGCCUUAUUCAAAGGAUUAAAGCCAUAGUCAUUCUAUUGUUUGGGGCUUCAAUAAUGUGGCUUUCCUUCCACAGACAGAAUUUUCAAUUCACAAAUCAUCUGAAAAACAGGAAAUUUUGGAGAAACAUGCUUAUGAUAACAAACAAGGGAUCUAUCGUGUGGUAUAGAAGUUUACACAAAGAGGCAUCCGAUUUUAAGUUUUUUUUUUUGUUUGUUUUUGUUUUUUUUUUUACCGUUCUGGGCUUCUGGCUGCAUUCUAGGAAGAUCAUUCCUUAAAAGAAAUAGCCAUAUGGCUUAUAAGGGACUAUAUCUUAAGACUAUGUGUCUUCUGCAGUUCUUUGCAUAGAGUCAACGUUGAAGGACAAGCAACUUCAAAUUUCCAAGCAACAAAAUUAUGUUCGGGUGGUUUUCUGAAAGCGAGAUCUUAAGAACCACCUGUAUCAGAAUCCCAUGAAGAGCUUGUUUAGUGUGCAAAUUUACAGAUUGUCCCCCCUCAGAAAUGCUCAUUUAGGAGUUCCUGUCCUUUGCGGGGACAUGGAUGAAACUGGAAACCAUCAUUCUCAGCAAACUAACACAGGAACAGAAAACCAAACACUGCAUGUUCUCACUCAAAAGUGGGAGUUGAACAAUGAGAACACAUGGACACAGGGAGGGGAACAUCACACACCAGGGCCUGUCGGGGGUGGGAGGUAAGGGGAGGGAGAGGAUUAGGACAAAUACCUAAUGCAUGUGGGGCUUAAAACCUAGAUGAUGGGUUGAUAGGUGCAGCAAACCACCAUGGACAUGUAUACCUAUGUAACAAACUUGCAUGUUCAGUACAUGUAUCCCAGAACUUAAAGUAAAAUAUAAAACAAUAAUAAAAA